rnacentral:rRNA from 1 species
AUACGUAGGGGGCGAGCGUUGUCCGGAAUGAUUGGGCGUAAAGGGCGCGUAGGCGGCCCGUUAAGUCUGAAGUGAAAGUCCUGCUUUUAAGGUGGGAAUUGCUUUGGAUACUGAUGGGCUUGAGUGCAGGAGAGGUAAGUGGAAUUCCCAGUGUAGCGGUGAAAUGCGUAGAGAUUGGGAGGAACACCAGUGGCGAAGGCGACUUACUGGACUGUAACGGACGCUGAGGCGCGAAAGUGUGGGGAGCAAACAGGAUUAGAUACCCUGGUAGUCCACACUGUAAACGAUGAAUGCUAGGUGUAGGGGGUAUCGACCCCUUCUGUGCCGCAGUCAACACAAUAAGCAUUCCGCCUGGGGAGUACGGCCGCAAGGUUGAAACUCAAAGGAAUUGACGGGG